GAUGAACGCUGGCGGCGUGCCUAAUACAUGCAAGUCGAGCGAACGGACGAGAAGCUUGCUUCUCUGAUGUUAGCGGCGGACGGGUGAGUAACACGUGGAUAACCUACCUAUAAGACUGGGAUAACUUCGGGAAACCGGAGCUAAUACCGGAUAAUAUUUUGAACCGCAUGGUUCAAAAGUGAAAGACGGUCUUGCUGUCACUUAUAGAUGGAUCCGCGCUGCAUUAGCUAGUUGGUAAGGUAACGGCUUACCAAGGCAACGAUGCAUAGCCGACCUGAGAGGGUGAUCGGCCACACUGGAACUGAGACACGGUCCAGACUCCUACGGGAGGCAGCAGUAGGGAAUCGUCCGCAAUGGGCGAAAGCCUGACUGAGCAACGCCGCGUGAGUGAUGAAGGUCUUCGGAUCGUAAAACUCUGUUAUUAGGGAAGAACAUAUGUGUAAGUAACUGUGCACAUCUUGACGUUACCUAAUCAGAAAGCCACGGCUAACUACGUG
rnacentral:rRNA from 1 species